rnacentral:lncRNA from 1 species
AUUGAUAGAUUCAUUGAUCACACAUUCUACAUAAUUGAUGAUUGUAUUGACACAAAAUAAUUACAUCCAUAUAAGACAACAUUUUUAAAACUUCUACGGAACACAUCUCAAACUCAUAGUUGAAACGAGAUUUGUUAAUCUUACUUUAAAAGCAAAGAAGCACAAAAAGACGCUAACUCCUCUACAGGCACCUUCACAACAUCCUCACGAAGACCCAAGUCUUUAUUCUGUCGCUUUGAGAAUGAUCUUGGAAUAGCAGUCGCAUAUCGAU